UUAUCUCUGUAGAGUCUGCAUAUCAAUAAGCGGAGGAAAAGAAACUAACUAGGAUUCCCUUAGUAACGGCGAGUGAAGCGGGAAGAGCUCAAAUUUGAAAUCUUCAAGGUUCUACCUUGACGAAUUGUAGUUUAAAGAAGUGUUUUCUGUUGGAGUUUUGGUAAAAGUUCUUUGGAAUAGGACAUCAUAGAGGGUGAGAAUCCCGUAUUUGACCAUUUCUUCCAGCUGUGUGAUACACUUUCAAAGAGUCGGAUUGUUUGGGAAUGCAGUCCAAAAUGGGUGGUAAAUUUCAUCUAAAGCUAAAUAUUGGCGAGAGACCGAUAGCGAACAAGUACCGUGAGGGAAAGAUGAAAAGAACUUUGAAAAGAGAGUUAAACAGUACGUGAAAUUGUCAAAAGGGAAGCGUUUGACACCAGUGUUGUUUUCUCGAAAAUCAAUUAAAAAUGGCCGGAUUUUGUGUUGUAUUGACUUUAUCAGCUUUCUGCACUUUUUUCUUGUCUUUUUUAAUGCACUUUUCGUUUAACAAGUCAACAUCAAUUUCUUUUGUUGUAAAAGAGUCAUUGGAAGGUGGCUUUCACUUCGGUGAAAGUGUUUAUAGCCUUUGACUUCUGCAAUCGGAGAGAUUGAGGUCUGCAGCGUAGAUCCUUCGGGGUUAGAUACAUUUGUGCUAAGCUAUAGCCUUUUAUAGACAACAUUGUUGACUAUGCUCAGUCAUGUAGCUUACUCGCUUAUGCUAUUUUACCUACGCUUAGGAUGUUGAACGCGCACAGAGUCUC
rnacentral:rRNA from 1 species